UUCUGGAGGUCUCCAGCCCACUCCCAAGUCACACAGCCAUCCCUAGGGAGGGGGGACUGGGGAACCAGUCUGGAGUCUUCCUCCCACCCAAGAGACGGAAGUGAAGGCAGGCAGCCUCUCACCCAUAGCAGCAAAGAGGAGGGGUCCUCUUGAACCCUAGGGAGAGGGGUCAACCGGGCUGGCAUCAGGCACAACUUGAGCCACGUUGGCAGAGACCUCCCCAGGCUCUGGCCUCCCCCAAAGGCCAGUUCUGUGGCAGGACAGGCUGGCAAGGGUUGUUUACAUGGCUGUUAUUCACAAUCCCUUCCUUCCCCAGCUCCCCUGGGGGUGGCUGGACCUGAGUGAGGCAGGGGAGAGAACUUGGGAGGGUCCAGCAGGGCCUGGAGUCCCUAGGCUCUGAAACUGGCUUCAGGCAAGAUGGUGGUCCCUGGUCCUGGCCUCUGGCUUGCCUGCUCAGCAGUCCAGCCGGGGGAGAGUCCAGGGCAGAGUCCUGUGGCUUAGGGCCUGGGAGAGGCCAGCAUGGGAACCUGGACUGUCCAGUGCCCGAGGGCUGUUGCUGUCAUCCCCAGGGAGAUGGGGACUGGUCCUGGGGGAAUGGAACAGGACCUCCCUUCCGCGUACCCCGAGUUGCCAUGUCAGCCUUGUUAAGUCACAGUCCGGGACCUGGACCAGGGCUCUCAGGACGGGCUCCUGGAGUGUCCAGGGGCUGCUGGGAGCUGGCUCAGGGGGGAGAGGACCACUUCUCUACCCCAUCCUGGCUCCCAUCCUGCCUCAGCCCAUGCCACAGGCCAGAGCCCUUGUUGCUGACUGUUCUGCGCCUGACGAUUGAGCAGAGCUGAGGACACACAAAAGACACAAACACAAAAGGAAAGCCACCCAGCGCAUGGACACAAAGCCAGACCCAGGGACCAAGGCUCAGGACUCCAUGCCCAGCAGGGCCGGCUCUGGCCCCCAGGACUCCCCCAGCAGCAGGCAGCAUCCUCUGGCCUUGGGGUUGCCUUCUUACCCCCCAGCUAUCGGGACUCCUAUUUUCUGAUGCUGAGUGGGGCCCAGGGGCAAGGCCCUGAGUUACUUGCUCCCUCAGUCCCCUCAAGCUGAGGGCUGGAGGGCACCCACCAGGCCUCCCCAGCUCAGCCUGGGCCAGGGCACUGUUGAAUCGUGUUGCUGCUAAGUGCAACAGCUAAAAAUACAGCCACAGGCCAGUGUGUGCAGUGCCAUGGAUGCCAGGAGCAGGGAGCGGACCAGGACACCGAGGGGCUACAAGCUACAGUGAUGGUGCUAAAGAGCCAGGAUGUCUUGGAAUCUGUACAACUGCCGUUCGCCAUUCACCAAUCUGCAUUGAAGCUCUGGGGACUUCCAGGCCUUGUGAAGUCGGGGCUUCAUGGAGGAGGUGAUACCUGAGCUUGGGAGUCAGAGAACAGGCAAAACUUCACCGAGUCACACACUUACAAAAAUAUUUUGCUUCCUUUAAGCCACUUGUUCCGGGCUGGAAUACAACAGACGGAGCGCAAGCGGAGCCUCUACCUGCUGGGCUGGUUGGCAGAAUUCAAGGAAAUCAUCUCUACGAAAUGCCUAGCACAAGAUGCUGAACAUGGAUUGUGAGUGAAUUGAUGAAGAGGUAAAACGACACCACAAUGCAGAAGGGUGCCAUAUAUGAAGCCAUUGGGCACCAAUAUGAGAGGCAGUAAAUCACCCCAGCCGAUUAAGUGCCUUCC
rnacentral:lncRNA from 1 species